GACGAACGCUGGCGGCGUGCUUAACACAUGCAAGUCGAGCGGUAAGGCCCUUUCGGGGGUACGACGAGCGGCGAACGGGUGAGUAACACGUGGGUGACCUGCCCUCAGCUCUGGGAUAAGCCUGGGAAACCGGGUCUAAUACCGGAUAUGACUCCAUGACGCAUGUUGUGGGGUGGAAAGCCUUGUGCGGCUGAGGAUGGGCCCGGCGGCCUAUCAGCUUGUUGGUGGGGUGAUGGCCUACCAAGGCGACGACGGGUAGCCGGCCUGAGAGGGCGACCGGCCACACUGGGACUGAGACACGGCCCAGACUCCUACGGGAGGCAGCAGUGGGGAAUCUUGCGCAAUGGGCGAAAGCCUGACGCAGCGACGCCGCGUGAGGGAUGACGGCCUGGUGUAA
rnacentral:rRNA from 1 species